AAUAUUCUAUUUGACACCAAAUCAAAUGCGGCAACUUUCUUAGUGGUUUCUUAUUGGGAUAUAAAUUGCAUUUGAUUAAAACGUCAUGAAUUAGUUUCUAAUUUAUGGCAAAGCAAUAAGGCCCGUUUCGUAUCGUAUCGUUUCGUUCCGUUCCGUGCCGUGUCGUGCCGCUCACACACUCUUCGCUCUCUUUGUUUCGUCACUGCGUCGACAAGUGGAGCAGCAGCAGCAGCAGCAGCAGAGUUUGCGGUAGCGACCAUGGCGGCAACGGCGACGAUGGCGCAUUGUGGCAGGCGGCGCGUCGACCGCAAUUUUUUGUGGUUACUAGGACGUACAUAUGUUUGUAUGUAUGAACAUUAUUGGGCUUCCGAUAGAGCAUCGCAUUCGUAAAUUCUACUUAUUUCGCUUCUUCUUCUUCGUUAUGAUCUUCUUAACGAACACCUGCGCAGCGUUCCCACGAAUUUCACUACGCGCGAGUUCUUUCGAUCAGUC